CGCGGCCUAUCAGCUUGUUGGCGGGGUAACGGCCCACCAAGGCAACGACGGGUAGCUGGUUUGAGAGAACGAUCAGCCACACUGGAACUGAGACACGGUCCAGACUUCUACGGGAGGCAGCAGUAGGGAAUCUUGCGCAAUGGGCGAAAGCCUGACGCAGCGACGCCGCGUGCGGGAUGACGGCCCUAGUGGUUGUAAACCGCUUUCAGCAGGGACGAAAAUGACGGUACCUGCAGAAGAAGUCCCGGCUAACUACGUGCCAGCAGCCGCGGUAAUACGUAGGGGACAAGCGUUGUCCGGAUUCAUUGGGCGUAAAGAGCUCGUAGGCGGUUCAGUAAGUUGGGUGUGAAAGCUCCGGGCUCAACCCGGAGAGGCCACUCAAUACUGCUGUGACUAGAGUCCAGUAGAGGAGCGUGGAACUCCUGGUGUAGCGGUGAAAUGCGCAGAUAUCAGGAAGAACACCGGCAGCGAAGGCGGCGCUCUGGGCUGGUACUGACGCUGAGGAGCGAAAGCAUGGGUAGCAAACAGGAUUAGAUACCCUGGUAGUCCAUGCCGUAGACGUUGGGCACUAGGUGUGGGGAGGAGUCAACCCUUUCCGUGCCGUGGCAAACGCAUUAAGUGCCCCGCCUGGGGAGUACGG
rnacentral:rRNA from 1 species